AGGGUGGCCCCAAAGUAAUGCAUGCAAAAAUGUGGAUUUUGUGUCUUAAAUCAGGUGAAGAUGACCUUCACGUUGGACCCCGGGGAUAGCUGUGUGCUCUAUCACUCAAUGGAUGUUCCUGAAAGGUGUUACCGACUGCUUUGUUCUGCUUAGGAAAGAGGAAUUUGAUGACUUGCUGAAGGUUUCAGGAAGCCCCAGAGAAACAACUGCUAUGCUUCAUGAUCAGAUGGUUACCUUCCUUUUCCCUGCCUUUUAGCCAUGUGGGAAUAGAGUAAAUGAGAAGGAGAAGCCCUGCAGGAGGAAACAGCACCCAGGAGGAGUACCAAGGAACUGGAAAGAAAGAAAAAAUAAAAAAGACAAAUCUAUGUUGCAAGUCAUUAUAGCAAAAAUCGUUCUGCUUUAAAUAAGAAAAAGAAGAAUAUAAGUCCCUUGAUUGGGGUGAUUUAUGGUGAAGCUAUAAUUGUGUAACUGAGGUGAAUAGCCUCAAUGGCAGAAGAUGCGUUAUUUUGCUAAGAAACAAUGGCUGUGCCCCCAUUAAGAGCAACCUCACUUUUUUUGAUUGAUAGGUUAAGCAGGAACUGGCUGCAGAAGCUCAGGUGAGCCACUGGAUCACUGUGUACUUGGCAGGGAGAUACAGAUUUGUCUUGUCCUGUCCUGCCAAGAGCAUCUUUAUAGACAAAAGUGUUAUCUGUUGUUAGGACUUGGCAAGGUAGUUCAGAAAGUGGAGUAUGUGCUGCUUUAACUUACCAGAUGACGGAUGUCCAGGGAGUUAGAAUUUGUCUGUGGAAAAGCAUCUCCAAAGAGUUAUUUGA